UCCCUGGUGGUCCAGUGGUUAGGACUCUGCACUUUCACUGCCGAGGGCUGGGUUCAAUCCCUGACUAGGAU
rnacentral:tRNA from 1 species